UACGGAGGGGGCUAGCGUUGUUCGGAAUUACUGGGCGUAAAGCGCACGUAGGCGGAUCAGUCAGUUAGAGGUGAAAGCCCAGGGCUUAACCCUGGAACUGCCUUUAAUACUGCUGGUCUGGAGUCCGAGAGAGGUGAGUGGAAUUCCGAGUGUAGAGGUGAAAUUCGUAGAUAUUCGGAGGAACACCAGUGGCGAAGGCGGCUCACUGGCUCGGUACUGACGCUGAGGUGCGAAAGCGUGGGGAGCAAACAGG
rnacentral:rRNA from 1 species